rnacentral:rRNA from 1 species
AUAACACUUAGAAAUAGGUGCCAAUACCGCAUAAGCGCACGGAGCCGCAUGGCUUAGUGUGAAAAACUCCGGUGGUGUAAGAUGGAUCCGCGUCCGAUUAGCUGGUUGGCGGGGUAGAAGCCCACCAAGGCGACGAUCAGUAGCCGGCCUGAGAGGGUGAACGGCCACAUUGGGACUGAGACACGGCCCAAACUCCUACGGGAGGCAGCAGUGGGGAAUAUUGCACAAUGGGGGAAACCCUGAUGCAGCAACGCCGCGUGAGUGAAGAAGUCAUUCGUGAUGUAAAGCUCUAUCAGCAGGGAAGAAAAUGACGGUACCUGAGUAAGAAGCCCCGGCUAACUACGUGCCAGCAGCCGCGGUAAUACGUAGGGGGCAAGCGUUAUCCGGAUUUACUGGGUGUAAAGGGAGCGUAGACGGCCAGACAAGUCUGAAGUGAAAAUCCAGCGCUUAACGUUGGAAGUGCUUUGGAAACUGCCGGGCUAGAGUGCAGGAGGGGCAGGCGGAAUUCCUAGUGUAGCGGUGAAAUGCGUAGAUAUUAGGAGGAACACCAGUGGCGAAGGCGGCCUGCUGGACUGCAACUGACGUUGAGGCUCGAAGGCGUGGGGAGCAAACAGGAUUAGAUGCCCUGGUAGUCCACGCGGUAAACGAUGAUUACUAGGUGUCGGGGGGCUAGAGCCCUUCGGUG